rnacentral:rRNA from 1 species
AUUGAACGCUGGCGGCAGGCCUAACACAUGCAAGUCGAGCGGAUGAAGAGAGCUUGCUCUCUGAUUUAGCGGCGGACGGGUGAGUAAUGCCUAGGAAUCUGCCUGGUAGUGGGGGAUAACGUUCCGAAAGGAACGCUAAUACCGCAUACGUCCUACGGGAGAAAGCAGGGGACCUUCGGGCCUUGCGCUAUCAGAUGAGCCUAGGUCGGAUUAGCUAGUUGGUGAGGUAAUGGCUCACCAAGGCGACGAUCCGUAACUGGUCUGAGAGGAUGAUCAGUCACACUGGAACUGAGACACGGUCCAGACUCCUACGGGAGGCAGCAGUGGGGAAUAUUGGACAAUGGGCGAAAGCCUGAUCCAGCCAUGCCGCGUGUGUGAAGAAGGUCUUUGGAUUGUAAAGCACUUUAAGUUGGGAGGAAGGGCAUUAGCCUAAUACGUUAGUGUUUUGACGUUACCAGCAGAAUAAGCACCGGCUAACUUCGUGCCAGCCGCCGCAGUAAAAC